rnacentral:rRNA from 1 species
GGAAUCUUGCGCAAUGGGCGAAAGCCUGACGCAGCCAUGCCGCGUGAAUGAUGAAGGUCUUAGGAUUGUAAAAUUCUUUCAGUAGGGACGAUAAUGACGGUACCUACAGAAGAAGCCCCGGCUAACUUCGUGCCAGCAGCCGCGGUAAUACGAAGGGGGCUAGCGUUGCUCGGAAUUACUGGGCGUAAAGGGAGCGUAGGCGGACAUUUAAGUCAGGGGUGAAAUCCCAGAGCUCAACUCUGGAACUGCCUUUGAUACUGGGUGUCUUGAGUGUGAUAGAGGUAUGUGGAACUCCGAGUGUAGAGGUGAAAUUCGUAGAUAUUCGGAAGAACACCAGUGGCGAGGGCGACAUACUGGAUCAUUACUGACGCUGAGGCUCGAAAGCGUGGGGAGCAAACAGGAUUAGAUACCCGAG